rnacentral:rRNA from 1 species
AUUGAACGCUGGCGGCAGGCCUAACACAUGCAAGUCGAGCGGCAGCGGAAGGAAGCUUGCUUCCUUGCCGGCGAGCGGCGGACGGGUGAGUAAGGUAUGGGGAUCUGGCCGAAGGCGGGGGAUAACCACUGGAAACGGUGGCUAAUACCGCAUAAUCUCUAAGGAGCAAAGUGGGGGACCGUUCAGGCCUCCCACCGUCGGAUGAACCCAUAUGACAUUAGCUAGUAGGUGGGGUAAUGGCUCACCUAGGCGACGAUCUCUAGCUGGUCUGAGAGGAUGAUCAGCCACACUGGGACUGAGACACGGCCCAGACUCCUACGGGAGGCAGCAGUGGGGAAUAUUGCACAAUGGGCGCAAGCCUGAUGCAGCCAUGCCGCGUGUAUGAAGAAGGCCUUCGGGUUGUAAAGUACUUUCAGUCGUGAGGAAGGUGUUAAGGUUAAUAACCUUAGCAAUUGACGUUAGCGACAGAAGAAGCACCGGCUAACUCCGUGCCAGCAGCCGCCGUAA